rnacentral:SRP_RNA from 1 species
GCUGGAUAUUGUGGUGUAUGGCUGUAAUUCCUGAAACUGGGGAGUCUGAGGUUGGUGGAUUAUUUAAGUUCAUGAGUUCUGACCUGCACUCCCCAAAGCUGAUUGGAUAUCCACAUUAAGUUCAGCACCAGUAUAAUGAUUCUCCAGGAGAAGUAGGCCACUAGGUGGCCUAAGGAGAGGUGAAUUGGCCUAUGUCAGAAAUGGAGCAAGUCAAAAUUCCCAUGUCUAUCAGCAGUGUGAUCAAGCCUAAGAGUAGCUUUUGUACUGUGGCCUGGGGGCACAGUUGAAAAAAA